rnacentral:lncRNA from 1 species
AAAAUUAAUAGUGUCCCCACAAAUACUACUAAGGAAAAGCCCUUACUAUUUACUACUUCAAAGACAAUGUUUUGAAACCUGAUUAAUACUACUAGGAAUUUCUAAGUUUCCAAGUAAAUUAUCACAGUGUUUUUCAUCUCAGUAUUGACUAUGCUAUAUUUACAGGUACCCGGUGGUCAAGAGAUUAUGAUGUGUUUAUGGUUUUGAUCUUGAUAUUCUGCAAGUAUCCAGGUAUUCAGGUAAGAACUUUGCUAAUAUAAAGGUAAGAAAUGAUGUGG